rnacentral:rRNA from 1 species
GACGAACGCUGGCGGCGUGCUUAACACAUGCAAGUCGAACGUGAUUUUUAUGGAAAUUCUUUCGGGAAUGGAAAUGAAAUGAAAGUGGCGAACGGGUGAGUAACACGUGAGCAACCUACCUUACACAGGGGGAUAGCCGUUGGAAACGACGAUUAAUACCGCAUGAGACCACAGAAUCGCAUGAUAUAGGGGUCAAAGAUUUAUCGGUGUAAGAAGGGCUCGCGUCUGAUUAGCUAGUUGGAAGGGUAAAGGCCUACCAAGGCGACGAUCAGUAGCCGGUCUGAGAGGAUGAACGGCCACAUUGGAACUGAGACACGGUCCAAACUCCUACGGGAGGCAGCAGUGGGGAAUAUUGCACAAUGGGGGGAACCCUGAUGCAGCGACGCCGCGUGAGCGAAGAAGGUUUUCGAAUCGUAAAGCUCUGUCCUAUGAGAAGAUAAUGACGUAUCAUA